rnacentral:rRNA from 1 species
UGGGGAAUAUUGGACAAUGGGGGCAACCCUGAUCCAGCAAUGCCGCGUGUAUGAAGAAGGUCUUCGGAUUGUAAAGUACUUUCGACAGGGACGAUGAUGACGGUACCUGUAGAAGAAGCCCCGGCUAACUUCGUGCCAGCAGCCGCGGUAAUACGAAGGGGGCUAGCGUUACUCGGAAUGACUGGGCGUAAAGGGCGCGUAGGCGGCUUAUACAGUCAGAUGUGAAAUUCCUGGGCUUAACCUGGGACCUGCAUUUGAUACGUAUAGGCUAGAGUGUGAAAGAGGAUUGUGGAAUUCCAAGUGUAGAGGUGAAAUUCGUAGAUAUUUUGGAGGAACACCGGUGGCGAAGGCGGCAAUCUGGUUCACAACUGACGCUGAGGCGCGAAAAGCGUGGGGAGCAAACA